rnacentral:lncRNA from 1 species
UGCCUGAGCUGCUGUCUCCUCUACAAGACGAAUAACAGUUAAACUACAGUGUUGAUUCAGGAGGAGGAGGAGUAGGAGGAGGAGGUGCUGCCUGAGCUGCUGUCUCCUCUACUAGACGACUAACAGUUAAACUACAGUGUUGAUUCAGGAGGAGGAGGAGGUGCUGCCUGAGCUGCUGUCUCCUCUACUAGACGACUAACAGUUAAACUACAGUGUUGAUUCAGGAGGAGGAGGAGGAGGAGGAGGAGGUGCUGCCUGAGCUGCUGUCUCCUCUACUAGACGACUAACAGUUAAACUACAGUGUUGAUUCAGGAGGAGGAGGAGGUGGAGGAGGAGGUGCUGCCUGAGCUGCUGUCUCCUCUACUAGACGACUAACAGUUAAACUACAGUGUUGAUUCAGGAGGAGGAGGAGGAGGAGGAGGAGGUGCUGCCUGAGCUGCUGUCCCCCUCUACUAGACGACUAACAGUUAAACUACAGUGUUGAUUCAGGAGGAGGAGGAGGAGGUGCCUGAGCGGCUGUCUCCUCUACUAGACGACUAACAGUUAAACUAGUGUUGAUUCAGGAGGAGGAGGAGGAGGAGGUGCUGCCUGAGCUGCUGUCUCCUCUACUAGAAGACUAACAGUUAAACUACAGUGUUGAUUCAGGAGGAGGAGGUGCUGCCUGAGCUGCUGUCUCCUCUACUAGACGACUAACAGUUAAACUACAGUGUUGAUUCAGGAGGAGGAGGAGGAGGAGGAGGUGCUGCCUGAGCUGCUGUCUCCUCUACUAGACGACUAACAGUUAAACUACAGUGUUGAUUCAGGAGGAGGAGGAGGAGGAGGAGGAGGUGCUGCCUGAGCUGCUGUCUCCUCUAUUAGACAACUAACAGUUAAACUACAGUGUUGAUUCAGGAGGAGGAGGAGGAGGUGCUGCCUGAGCUGCUGUCUCCUCUACUAGAAGACUAACAGUUAAACUACAGUGUUGAUUCAGGAGGAGGAGGAGGAGGAAGAGGAGGUGCUGCCUGAGCUGCUGUCUCCUCUACUAGACGACUAACAGUUAAACUACAGUGUUGAUUCAGGAGGAGGAGGAGGAGGAGGUGCUGCCUGAGCUGCUGUCUCCUCUACUAGACGACUAACAGUUAAACUACAGUGUUGAUUCAGGAGGAGGAGGAGGAGGAGGAGGUGCUGCCUGAGCUGCUGUCUCCUCUACUAGACGACC